GGCAAAUAUCAGAAAUCAGACUGGUAAUCAGGAUUGUUUCUUCUGCCAGCACAUGUACCUAUUUAUUUCUAUCUCCUUUCUGCUGUGAUAACUGAGCUGGGGUCUUUCAUUCCAGCUGCUUCAUCGCUGCUCAAAUCUUGUUGUGUUUUUUCCGUCCCACACAGGUUGUUUUGUUCCAAUGAAUUCUUAUCAAACAGACGAGGGGAAAAGAAACAAAAAUCUGUCCAUCGGCUGGCAUUCCUGACAGGUUCGGCGUCCCGAGGCUUUCCCAGCACUGCUUUCGUUCCCAUCUAGUGGCCACAUGGAAGAUGACACUCCCAGAUCCCCAGAUACACCUUAGUCCCAGGCAGCUGGAGCUCUCAGCCCUGCACUUGCCACCUCCAGGAUUCUCUCUCCCUGCCGAAGCAGACCUCUGCUCCUGCUGAAACGUCCUGGGUGAAGCCUACAAGGAGAGGAGCCGUGCAGACACCGGCACACUGGUGAUGUUGGGACACAUUUUAGGAGUGGUGAGACCUCUUGUCAGCAAAGCUCUGAGAGAGGGAUACCUGAGUGCACCUCAAAGCAGGGCCUGGGCUUUGCUCUUUUGCUGCCUCCCUGCAGCUGGGCUUGGGCAGACCCGAACACGCCAGGAUGGUAUCCUGGCAUGCCAAGGCAAACUGGGUCCUGUCCAAGGCCUUCAGGAACAGGGUUUUUCCUACAUGAAGGCAAACCUAUAGGAGGAAAUGAGCCUGUGCCUAGGAAACCUCCUUCACAGCAUGAGUGUGCCAUCUUUAUGCAGAUGGGCCCUUACUCAUGCAGUGUCUCAGCAGCCCUGGCCUCGGAACACGCUGGCCCCAGGCUGCUGGGACACACGGGCAAGGGGACACCAGGUGACACACGGGCAAGGGGACACCAGGUGACACAUGGGCAAGGGGACACCAGGUGACACAUGGAGAAGGGGGACACCAAGUGCUCUACCAGCUCAGGUUCUGCUGACGGAUGGAAGCAGCUCACAAAGCCCUCACUGAGCUUCAGCACGCUGACAUGAAAGCUCCAGCUGCCAGGACUGAGUGAUUUCAGCAGCACCUUUCUAGUUUGCUAAAUUUCAUGACCCUUUGCUGGCACCUGGGCGCAGUUGAAGGCACCUGGAGUCAGGAGGGCACGGGUAGUCAAAGGCAGGCACCACUGGCAAACAAUGGAAUUUCUGAGGGAGCAUAACUACCGUGCCUGUGAAAUGCAGUGUUCUCCCGAGCUUCUUUGCUUGCUCAUGGCCUGUGAAAAAAAUCCAAAUCCUGAGUGAUCUACGUAAUCAUUGUUGUGCGUAGGAAGCCUUGCCUGGGCUUUGUGCUAGGGAAAAAAAUUAGCUAUGGCAAAGGUGAGAGGAAAGGAGUUGCUAAUUGCUGUAGGCUUCUCCUGUGAUUCAUUCUUUCUCCACAUACCAAGGGACUUCAAACAGGUAAAGAAAACUCACCACCUGAUGCACAGAUGGGAAGGCACUAGGAAGAUCUCAAAGCAAGAAAGCUAAGACUUAAGCUGCACUUCCAGGAGGAAAUUCCCAAACAAUCCUCACAUGCCCUUUAUUUCUCUGCUGCUCUGGACACUACUGGAAAUAAUGAGCAAGGUAGCAGGGAAAUACCUCAGUCCCCAUCACAUGCUCCCCGUCCUUAUGUGAGGCUAGGCUCCCCCAGAAGAGGCAGUACUGUAUAAUUAGCUGACAGGGUCUGUGCUGUCAGAUGAGCUGUGAUAGACAUCUCCCAGUGAGUUCAUACCCCAGUCCCCAAGGUGAGGGAAGGGAUAUAACAAACUCAGCCAAGACCCUUCAAGGCAAGCCCAGAUUGUUGCCACUCCGUCUGUACCACCAUACAGUGGUGUUCUGGUUUGGGGAGGCUUUUCUUCAUUUGAAGAUUUCUGCUCUGGCUCUUUUUCAGCUCAGUCUCUAAGACACUAGGGCAACAACACCUCUAUUUUCCCAAGUGUAGGCAUCAUUCUUGCAGCAGCCACCCUGCCCACAUAACUACAUGCGGUCUCCAAGAUGAGUGAACAGUAGUCACACAGCUUCUGCUAUCUCGAGCACGCUUCACAUUUUAACAUUCAUUUUCCUCUUCUCUUUAGAAUGAGGACUUUUUGAGCCCUUGCAGAAUGAUCCAGUGGCUCCACACACAUUUGGGUGCUCUCCUCUGCCAGGCACUGCUCUGGGCUGCAGUACUGGAGUUGUUAGAGAGGUGAUGGGAUGAGUUAGAGAGGUGAUGGGAUGAGUUUGCUCAACACUAGAGUGGCGUGGUAAGCUGAAUACAUAAAGUAACAUGCACUGCAGGUGAAGCAUCAUCAUUCUGAAGGUAAAGGGCUACAGUAAUGUUGCCAGGUAAAGGAGUGUCAGACACUGGCUCCAACAACUGAGCCUUUGUGUCCCUAGAGGUUCCUAUCUAAAGCAUCUUCCCCUUUCUGUCCAGCGGUGUCAGCAGGGUGGGUUUGCACUGGGGUACCCCUGGGGAGCCUGGCUUGGGGUGCACGUGGGGAUAGGCACGAGCCUGCCCUCUUCAGAGAGUCCUGGGAGAAGUUCCUGUGAAUUGCCUCAGGGAAAUGGAAGAAAGGGCAGCAAUUUGCAGUGCAGCAUGGCAGGACGUGGUAUUUUUAGAGAAGAAGAUUGUUAGCUGAGGGACAGCUCCCCAGUCUAGUGUAAAUCCACUAUUGCUUCACCCACGUCCUGGCUUCAGGCCCUUCAAAUUACUGCUGGGGUCAGGAGGUGCUCCUGAGCAUUUGCAGGUUGGGCCAUUGCACAAAAACGAGUGGGUGAGUGCUAGAGGAUGUGUUUGGUCAAAGGAGAGCUGUUCAGUGCACGCUGUGUGAAAAGCAGAGCAGCUGAAGGCCAGGACAGUGUGCUAACAGCGGGCUGUGCUGGGCAGGCUUGCAGCACAUUACCCCAUCCCUGACUCAAAACCGAGCUGGGCACGUCCUGCUGACCUCUGCCUAGUGCCAGUGAGGGGCAGCACUGGAGCCACAACACGGCACAGGGCGUUUUGAAAUGAUCAGGCUGCAUCCCCCGUUGCCUGCUACCCAGGAAAACCUUUGGAAAACAAGCGUAAAACCCCACUGCUGCGAUUUGGUCGCAUCACUCUGCUUAGCGCUUCAUUAGUGUUUCAUCAGAUGAAACAGGAGUGCUCUGGGUCCCUGGAGUUGAAGUUGUUUGAGAAGGUACCCCUUAGGUUUUCAGGAGGGUCUGUUUUUAUAUUUGAAUUUAUAUAAGUGGCAGAAAAUCCCACCAAAUCUUGUCAUCACAAGGCCAGCAGAUUGUGUUCUUUUGGUUUUUCCUCCUUAGACAUGCUCAAAUGCAGAGUCAGAGCACUGGGCAGACUUUCCUGGGGGAACAGUGCAUAAAUUAUUCCCUUUCUGGACAAGUUUUGCUCAUGUGAUCCCUGCUUCUGUUAAGUAUCCAGGAAAGGAACGGAGCACAGGGAGAAUGUCACCAUCUUAGGAAAAUGAUCCUUUGCUAAAGGGCUUUCUCAGCAGGGAGGCACAACCACCUCAACACCUGCAUGUCUCAGAGGACAACAAACUACCAAUAUCCAGAAAGGCAAUAUCCAGGCCUUUCCCUUCCUUCCUCCCCAACAGCCUGGCUAUGCACUUGCAUGCUCUUUAUCACAGCAAUCUCGAUUUACAUCAGCAGGAACUGGAGUCACACAUGCCUCACUUCAAAGCUCCCUCCCUGCCUGUGAGGGAGCUGCUGAUAGCAGCAGAUAGUGGUGUCUGCAGCUCACAGGUGAAGUGAAAGUCUGCUGAGCUGCCCAGACAGACACCACUCCGGUUUGAGUCAUUACCCUUUUCCACCUGUUCUCAGAGGGAUGGAUGAGAAAGGAUAACUCAUGUUCAAACACCAGGUCAGCUGUGCCCGCCCUUCCAAAAUAAACAUUUGAUGUCAGAGAAGAAAAUUAAUGGGAUGGUGUUGCAGAUAGUUCCUUUCCCUUCACGCAUUUCUUGGGGCUUUUAUCAAAAGUAAAGAGAGUGAAUAAGAUCCCAGUAGGCACUCAGAGUCUCCUGGAAGAGAUGAUGUCCAAGGGCGCUCCGCCGAGGCCCGGCAGCUGUCAGCGUGGGUGGCACUGCUCCUCCACGAGUCCAGCCUGUGCUCUGGAUCAUCCCUGCACAGCUGGGAAGCGAUGGCUGUGUGCUGGCCACCCCCUAUCCCACCAACAAGGACAGGGAUCAGAGGGGCAAAGAGAUGUGACCAAUGUCACCUGCACUGGCUGCUGCCAGGUGCUGUGAGCCCAGUCUCACUUCCCUGCCAGCCUGUGGAACACCAGCUCUGGCUCAGGGCAGGUGCCAAGAUCCGUGCCUGAGCAUGCAGCCCCCUGCACGGGUUCCCUGCUUAUCUGCGAGCUGCAGCCACUUGGGCUCACCAGCCCUUGGGGCAGCUCCCUGUUCCCUGGGCCCAAGCUCAUGGAACAGCCAGAGCCAGGACUCUCCGGGCAGCAGCUCCAGCCUGGCUGUCCUGCCGGAAAACCCCGGGUGCCGGCGGGAGGAGCGGUGGCUCAGUAGGUGGCACUCUGCAUCCACAGGGAAGCGGUACCUUCCCAAAGGUGAGCCCUGCCCUUGCAGCCCCAGCAGCGCGCCCGCAGGCCCCCUCAAGGCUUCUCCUCCUUGCACCACGCCUGGGGAUAUCCUCUGCAAGUUCAUCCCGGGGACAGCGUCCAAAUGUCCCUGCAGCCCUGGCAAAGGGCAGCGGCCAAGCUUAGUGCCUUUUCCCUCACAGCACACAAGGAGAGCCGGGGCUUGUGGCAAAUUGCACCCAGAAUCCCAGAAAGUCCUGAACUCCUGGCCUCUGGAGGGUGUUCUCUCUGAGAAACAGCCUAGAAGGGCUUGGCUGGGAGGCUGCCAUUUGGGAAGAGCUCCCCUGAUGUCCUACCAGAACCCCUCUGUGAAUAAUUGGGUACCCAUUACUAUCUUGCUGCGCUUUCUGGACUCUGAGGAGUUGUGCUGGUUGAUGCCAAGAUGCCCCUUCUUCUCCAAGGUCACAGGAGUAGCAGGAGGAAGUUGAUGAAAUGACAAAUUCAAAGCAUGGCAAGCCAAAUUCCUCGCUGCUGGCAGUCAGUGAGAUGGAGCUAUCAGCUGGAGACUGGGGAAGAGAGGGAACACGACCUCUUGGGCAUCGCCUCUCGGGAUUGGCAUGACCUGGCAAAGGCACCGGGAGCCACAUAUCGUGUGUGCCUGUGGAAGAAGGGAGAAGGUUCAGUGACUGAGUGACUUGGAUCCCUGCCACUUUGAGCAAAGGCUCUGUCAGCUUCCUGAGCUGAAUGAGCCGUGGGGCGAUGCCCUCCGGGGAGCUCUGCGGGGGCAGCCGUGAGCGGCAGCGGCCCCGAGGAGCGCGGUGUCCCUGCCCGGUGCUGCCGCCGCUUACUCAGCCCUUACUCAUGCGCCGCUCGGCGAGGCGCAGCCGGCGAGGCGAGGGGGGGUCGAUGGCCCGCUUUAUCUCCGGAAAGCAUUCCUCCGGGACACGCGGGGAGAGCAAGGAGCACGGAGCCAGCCGACAGACAGGUGUGCCCGCAAUAACCCGGCGCGCCCCCGACGCCGUGACCCGCGCGGGACCCAGGGCGCCCGGGGGAGCUGGGGGUGCCCCAUCCUUAGUGGUGCUCAAGGCCAGC